rfam:Ovis aries breed Texel chromosome 9, whole genome shotgun sequence.
UCCCUGGUGGCUCAGACGAUAAAGGAUCUGCCUACAAUGCAGGAGACCCAGGUUCAAUCCCUGGGUAAGGAA